AAAAGCAAAGAAGAGCACACGGGGAAUGCCUGUGGCUCCUGGAGGCGAGGAAGGACGCGACAAGCUGCGAAAAACUGGGAUUAGGUGCACAUAACCGAUUGACUCCCAGGUAUCCGAAUGGGACAACCCACAGAUUGCAAGAUCUGUAUCCGUAAUGGAGGCCAACCACCUGAACUGAAACAUCUAAGUAGGGUGAGGAAAAGAAAUCAAAGAGAUUCCCUGAGUAGCGGCGAGCGAAACGGGACAAGCCCAAACCAGAGACGUCUAGGCGUGUCUGGGGUUGUAGGACCUCAAUAAUGACAUCAAUCAAAAUCGGAAGCUGUCUGGAAAGACACACAAUACAGGGUGAUAGUCCCGUAUGAGUAAUGAGCGAUGUGAGUGAGGUAUCCUGAGUAGGACGGGGCACGAGCAACCCUGUCUGAAUCUGCGGGGACCAUCCUGCAAGGCUAAAUACUCCCAGGAGACCGAUAGUGAACUAGUACCGUGAGGGAAAGGUGAAAAGAACCGCGCGUAGCGGAGUGAAAUAGAACCUGAAACCGUGUGCUUACAAGCGGUUGGAGCCCUUUAGGGGGUGACAGCGUGCCUUUUGCAUAAUGAGCCUACGAGUUACUCUUCACCAGCAAGGUUAAAGUGUUAUAGACACGGAGCCGUAGCGAAAGCGAGUCUGACAAGGGCGAAUGAGUUGGUGGAGGUAGACGCGAAACUUUAGUGAUCUACCCUUGGGCAGGUUGAAGUUAGGGUAACACCUGAUGGAGGACCGAACCGGUAAACGUUGAAAAGUUUUCGGAUGACCUGAGGGUAGGGGUGAAAGGCUAAUCAAACUGAGAGAUAGCUCGUACUCCCCGAAAUGCCUUUAGGGGCAGCCUUGGAGUUGAGUGUCAUAGAGGUAGAGCUACUGAUUGGACUAGGGGGCUUCACCGCCUACCAAAUCCUGACAAACUCCGAAUACUAUGACAUAUAUCCAGGAGUGAGGCAUAGGGUGCUAAUGUCCUGUGCCAAGAGGGAAAUAACCCAGACCAUCAGCUAAGGUCCCCAAAUAUAUGCUAAGUUGAUCUAACGAAGUCUGAUUGCAUUGACAGCUAGGAUGUUGGCUUGGAAGCAGCCAUUCAUUUAAAGAGUGCGUAACAGCUCACUAGUCGAGCGAUUGGGCGUGGAUAAUAAGCGGGCAUAAAACACAGUACCGAAGCCAUGAAUUGUACAGUAAUGUACAGUGGUAGGGGAGCAUUCUAACAGCACUGAAGGUGUGGCGUAAGCCAUGCUGGAGCAGUUAGAAAAGCAAAUGUAGGCAUAAGUAACGAUAAUGGGGGCGAGAAACCCCCACACCGAUAGACUAAGGUUUCCUGAUCAACGUUAAUCGGAUCAGGGUUAGUCGGGUCCUAAGGCGUAUCCGAAGGGAAAAGUCGAUGGAUAACUGGUUAAUAUUCCAGUACUUGCUUUACUGCGAUGUGGUGACGAAGUAGUGAAAGUUCUGCGCACUGACGAACAUGUGCGUUAAAAGAUGUAGAUAUAGGUUGUGUAGGUAAAUCCGCACGACUUGUCGAAUCCGAUAGUAUCAGGAGUCUUCGGACAAAUGAAUAUGAACCUAAUCAAACUUCCAAGAAAAACCACUAAGCUUCAGGUAACAGCAACCCGUACCGCAAACCGACACAGGUAGUCAAGGAGAGAAUCCUGAGGUGCUCGAGUGAUCCGCGGCUAAGGAACUAGGCAAAUUAACCCUGUAACUUCGGGAAAAAGGGUGCCCUCCGCAAGGAGGGCCACAGUAAAAUGGCUCUGGCGACUGUUUAUCAAAAACACAUGGCUAUGCUAAACUGAAAGGUGAUGUAUAUGGCCUGACACCUGCCCGGUGCUGGAAGGUUAAGAGGAGAGGUUAUUCGCAAGAAGAAGCUUUGAAUUGAAGCCCCAGUAAACGGCGGCCGUAACUAUAACGGUCCUAAGGUAGCGAAAUUCCUUGUCGGGUAAGUUCCGACCUGCACGAAUGGUGUAACGAUCUGGGCACUGUCUCAGCUGUGAGCUCGGUGAAAUUGUAGUAUCGGUGAAGAUGCCGAUUACCCGCAACGGGACGGAAAGACCCCGUGCACCUUCACUAUAGCUUAACAUUGACUUUGGAUAAAUCAUGUGUAGGAUAGGUGGGAGACUUUGAAGCGGUAGCGCUAGCUAUCGUGGAGUCAACGUUGAAAUACCACCCUUGAUUUAUUCGGAGUCUAACUCCGCACAACGGAGGACAUUGCAUGGUGGGUAGUUUGACUGGGGUGGUCGCCUCCAAAAGAGUAUCGGAGGCUUUCAA
rnacentral:rRNA from 1 species